rnacentral:rRNA from 1 species
UACAGAGGUCUCAAGCGUUGUUCGGAUUCAUUGGGCGUAAAGGGUGUGUAGGUGGCGCCCGUAAGUCGGGGUGUGAAAAUUUCGGAGCUUAACUCCGAAACUGCAUUCGAUACUGCGGUGCUUGAGGACUGGAGAGGAGACUGGAAUUCAUGGUGUAGCAGUGAAAUGCGUAGAGAUCAUGAGGAAGACCAGUGGCGAAGGCGGGUCUCUGGACAGUUCCUGACACUGAGACACGAAGGCCAGGGGAGCAAACGGG